GGAGUCAUUGCAAGGGAGACCUUUAGGGGCUCUGGCAGAGAGUGACUGUCAUUAUAUAGAAGUUCCCGUGGGGAGCACUGCCAGGUGGGUCCUAACAAACCAUGAUGGGGUCACUGCAGAAGUCACCGCUGGGGAGGGUCCUCAGGGAGGAUGUUUAGAAAUUAGAAGAGGGAGAGUCAUUGUGACAGCCUGCUGCCUCCCCCCCUCCCCAGGAAAUACUGCUGCACAAGGGUGACCAUGGAGGCGGGAGGCAGGGGGCCUGCAGGUGCAGCCCCAGCUUCCUCCUUACCUUUGUGCUCAUGAUGUCUUGGCGGUUGAUGAGCACUUGCUCCUCAGGCCAGGCGUAGGGCUCAUGAGUGGCCCUCUGCAAGGGUGAGGAGAGAGCCCAUCAGUGCAGCCUCUGUCCCUGGGACCCAGCACGAUGCACCUGCACCCCCACUCCCUCACCCCCCAAUGUGCCCAGCUUGGUGGGCCAAGGCAGGGGCCACCUACCAUGAUAUUAAAAGGUUUAACAUUGGUGUCAGUCCACUGCUGCCACCACUUCUUUUGGCUGUCUAUCAUAGCUGCUCAGUCUCCUCCCACCUGUCAAAGAAACUUCAUUCCAAGUGGUCUUGCUCCCCCUCGUGGUGAUAUCAUAGAGGACUCUGUGACCUCCAGCUGUCCACAUUCCACCAAGGAAUUCUUGAGCUUCAAGAAAAGCUCCUCCCACUGACUCCCCUGGGUACCCCACGGAGGAAGCCUGGGGCACUGAGGGGCUGGGCUGGAGUCAGGGGUCAGAGGCUGAUGGGAACAAGUCAGGUUUCUUGUACACCCCUGGAUGGAGACAGAGGGGCAUGGCCUUACUCUGGGUCCAGGAGCUGGAGGGGAGACUGGGAGGAGGAAGAGAAGAGAUCCUCCUCCCAGAAGACCUUAACCUGUACCUGUCCCCACCAGCUUCACCAUCCAUAACCCGUCUCAGGGCCAUCCACCCUGUCCUUCCACACAGGUAUGUUUCUCCAUCGAGAGAAAGGCCAGUCUAUUGUUUCUCUGUGCCUCCCUGGGGAGGGGGCAGGAGAGUACCCCCUGGUUUCUGAAGGGUGGGAAAGAGAUGGGCAUAAGCGGAGGCCCUCACUGGCUAUGGAUCAGCAGCUCUCAUCCUGAGAGGCACAGAACUUCAGGAAUAGGGCUCAGGCCAGUGGUCUGCACACAUGGCGGACCAGUUACCAAGAGCAUUCCUGUCCCCCCCCCUUUUUUUUUUUGAUAUUUUAUUUAUUUAUUCAUGAGAGACAGAGAGAGAGAGAGAGAGAGAGAGAGAGAGAGAGAGAGAGGCAGAGACACAGGCAGAGGGAGAAGCAGGCUCCAUGCAGGGAGCCCGACCUGGGACUCGAUCCCGGGUCUCCAGGAUCAGGCCCUGGGCCGAAGGCAAGGCUAAACCGCUGAGCCACCCGAGCUGCCCAUUCCUGUCCUGAUACCUUUCCAUGCUUGUCCCCUCUGAGAGCAGAUUCCUGGUUCUAAUAUGGAAGGCAAAGGCACAUGUGGAUUCAUUUUAGAUAUGAUUGAUUUUAUUUUGUUGAAAGUGUUUCUUGUGUAAAAUGAACACCUAUACAAGACUAGGCAGGGAACGGGUUUGUGCCCCCACAGGUCAGAGGAUGAGGUGGGAGAGAAUUUCUUGCAGGCCAGCUUCCCACCACUUCAUUGGCAAGAGAGAGGAUGGCACAGAGUUCACUUCACUUGACCCCACUCCAGGGGAGAGAGGAGCAGAAAUGGUGGACACUUAGGCAGAGGGGGCCAUCUCGGGGUAGCACUACUUCUGACCUUGAACAGAGCCGGCAGGGGCCCUGUCCUGGGCGUGUCAGAGGCUGGGGGGUUGAGGUGGUCUUCGAGGCCAGAGGUCAGGAGCCAGAGUACUGACCAGGGUCAGAGGUCAGGAGGCUGGAAGUUGCUCUCUGGGGUCCGGGGGCAGAGAUGGGACUGCUCCUCAGGGUCAGAGGGCAGGGGGUGGGAAGGCUGUUCUCUGGGGUCAGAGCUCAGGACUUGGGAGGGGCCUUCAGCUUGCACCACUGCCCCGGCCCCCAGGCUCUCCAAGUAGAGAUCUUGGUUCUGCUCCUUCCACUGUCGGAACUUCUCUCCUGUCAGCUCGGGGUCACCCAGCACUUCCUCCAAAGCCUGAAGCUCCUGCAGCUUUGCCUGUGAAGAGAGUGGGAGCUCGGGGGCAUGAUCACCUAGGGAGAGGGGCAGAGCCCGAGCUCAGGGCUCACUCUGGGGUCCAGUGCUUGGAACCCAGCACCUGGCCCGCUCCAGCCCCAACCCUCACAAGGAGAGGCAGGCUCUGGGAGCCUGGAACUGGUUCGGUCCACAGCUGGGCCCAGAGCUCAGGCCAGGAAGCAGAACCACAAGCCCGGAGCCCUGUCCUCCACCAUGCCCAGUGCCCUCCAGCUGACCUUGAGUGUGCUCUGUAGUGCUCGUACGCGGUGCACUAGCUCAUUUUGCUGGGGGUCUCGGUUGCGCCGCAUGAAAGAGCUCCGCCAUUGUUCCUGAGUGAGGGGCUGCGGCUGGCCCAGGAGGGACACGCCACCCUGCCUCAGCCCCCGCACCAUUCCUUCCAGCGCCCCUUCACUGUUGUCUGUGGGGGAGGGGGGCAGAUGACCAUGUGCCCACCCCCUGCCCUCCAUCUCUGCUCCCACCCCCUGCCCUCCAUCUCCGCUCCCAACCCCAGCACAACACCUGUUGGUGAGCCAAAGGAUGUCCGUGGACUGCCCUGCGUCGGGGUAGCUGCAGGUGAUGUGUCUCCAUGGAGCGGACCCCAGACUUGGGCUGGGCAGGGCUGUGGGCAGGGUGGGAGGAGAAGUGGGUAUCAUUCUGAGCGCUACGGAUGUACCCCCCCACACACACUCAUCUCCUACUCACCGAGGCUGAUCGGGACCCAGCAUCAUCGUCAGGGUCUUCUGCUUCUGUCUCACUGUAGCAGUCUGGGGGAACAGGAGCAAUUGGGAGCCCACUAAGCAUCACAGGGUUUUAGGAGGCCAGAGAGUGGCUAGGGCAUUGGAGUUCCCAGCCCCCAUCCCAGGAAAGACAGAGGCUCAGCUGAGACCUGGUGAGACCUACCCCUGUGAGACACCCACCUUCUUCUCGGGGCAGGGAGGCCCGGCGUGGAGACUGGUACUUGAAAAUGCAGGUAAUUAGAUGGCGCACCCACCUGUGUAGGAGCAAAUGGGUCUUGGAGUUUCCGUCUACUGUAUGCUAGGGGAUUUUCACCUGUUAUCAUCUUCUAACUUAACCCUCAGAGUACCUCUGAGAGGUAGGAACUCGAACUAACCCAUUUUAUAGAUGAUGAAACUGAGGCUUGGAGAAGUGAGUGCCUUGAUCAGCCACCAUCAGAGAACAGGGAUCGGAAUCCAGGUUCCUAAGCCAGGCUCACAAGCACUCAUGUGGAAGCUGGGAGGUAAGGGGGUGGGGAUGGGGGCUGGCACUCACAUGCUCAGAUCCUCCAGGGUGUCAGCAGCGAAAAUGAAGGGUUUGUACACGUCAUGGGUGAGCUGGAACACACUGCCAGGGAGCACAGAGGCCUCACUCAGCCUGGCUGUGCCCAUCCAGAACCCAUGAGGCUGCACUGGGAACCCUAGCUACCUGGUGCAUCCUCCUCCCCCCUACUUCUCCUUCUUUCUCCCUUUCUCAGCCCACCCCCCAGUGUCACACUCCAAGACUUAACUAUUUUUUCUUCUGAUCCUGACCGCUUUCCAGACUGUAGUUGGAAACAUUGAUGAGACCUUCAGCCUUCUCAUCCUGGGGGGAAUUACAGGGUAAGGGUCAGCCUGCAGCCCCAAGACCCUGGAGGCCCAGUCAGGCUCCUGGGGGUGGGGCGGUGGAGGGGCAGCUCCUGGGCUUUCCAACCACAAAUCUCCCAAUGCCUAGAGCUCAGGGCAGGAAUCUGGGAUGGGGCAAAGUGUGUGACCAAGAGGUGCCUUUGAGCCAGGAAAGAGGAGCCAAAGAUAUCCAGGAAGACGGCCACAGAAGAAAAGACUGCUUAUGCAUUUGUUGUGUUAUUAGAGAUGCAGGAAGCUGCUCCAUACCCCUGAACUUUGCAAACUCUCUUCUCCCUUCCUGGUUUUUUCAUCUUUCCAUCUGACUAACCUCCAGGCAUUGAUUUCUCAGCCUUCUUGACGUUCCAGGUUGGACUGUCCACCUCUGCAGGGCUCCUACCCACCCCUGGGAUUCUCCUUUAUCAUAGCAUGGGUUCGCUGAACUGGCCUGGGGUGUGCACUCAUCCUCACCACUACCAGCCUGGAGUAGCAGGGACUGUCCCAUCCUCCCUCUGUCCCUAGUACGCAGCCCAGAGCUGGGUACACAGUAGGCACCUGAACAUUCAUUGAAUAAGAAGUUGAACAAAUGGCCCAUCACUAGGAUAGACAGGGUAACAGAAGAGGAAGGAAAGGUGGGCAGAGUAAAGGUGACUCUCUCUACACUGCCCGUGAUACCUUUCUCAGGCUGCUCUUACACACAUAUUAGUUCAUCUUUCUCCAAAGAGUGAUCUUAUUCUAUAGAUAGGGCUCAGGGAGGGGGCCUGUGGCCUUCCUGUGACCACAGGGGGAGCAGACUGGUGGAGUAAGGAUGAAAAUCAUGGCUCUGAUUCACUUGCUAACCCAUGUAUGUGGUGGGGGGCUCACCUGGGGCUGGUGGUACCAGUAAAGCGUGUGUCUCUUGAGCACAAACCAGCAGCGGCGCCAGCGCGGGCCCAUGAAGCCACCAGGCACCUUGCGCAGCAGGAGCCAGCCGUCACAGUCUGGCUGGCCCAGUUCCCGGCAGGACACCCGCCUGCGACUCAGUCGAGUCGCCACGCCUGCAGCAGCACAGCACGGCCUGGGUGUCUGCCUGAGGUAGAGCUGACUCUUCCCAUUUUAGAGAAGAGGAAAUGGAAGAUCAGAGGAUGAGCCAUUAGCCCAAAGUCACAGAGCUGGUCCCAGAGGAGGCCAAGGACGAGGAGGGUCCCCCUCAUCAGCUGGCCCAACCAGGGUCUUAGGAGGAGCCCCGGGUACCUGUUGAGCCAGAAGAGGAGGGUAUGGGCCUCAUGUAUCAGUUUCACAGCUGCACUGAGGACAUGGGCAGGGGGCUCCACACAGCCCUCCAGGUGACCUUGGACUAAGCUCUGGAAAGCAUAGAUCCCCUCCAGCAAUCUCUCUGUCAGGCUCUGAAGGUUCUCUGUCUGUAGCCCAGAGCUCUGUGCCAGAAAAAAAGGCAGGUUAUCUCCUGGCAGUAGACGGCCCCUCAUCAGCAACCCCCAGAUGGGUGGAAGCUGCACAAGUGUGGCCACCAUUCACUCACCAGGGCCCGGAGCUGUUCCACCCCUUCCAGGAUGAGCUCCUGGUGGCCCAGAGGCCACACGGUCAGAGCCUCAAGGCUUCGGGGACAGAGCUGGAGCAGGUACUUGCCAGGCAGUUCCCAUUCCUCAAAGCAGUAGUCCUGUAGGGAGUCAUGGAGGCCUAGAGGGAGAGCAGGGCUUUCAGGCCACUUCUUCAUUCUCACAAAGCCCUCUUUCCUCCCAUCUGCUCGUAACAACAAUCCUGGGACCCAGGGCGUGUUCUGCCCAUUUCACAGAUGAGACUAGAUCAGACUAAUUUACUGAGCAAGUAAAUUAAUCACUCUAUGCCUCAGCUUCCUCACCUGUGAAAUGGCAACAAUAAAAGCACCUACUUUCUGAUCAUGUGGGUAUUAAAUGACAUGGAACACGUGAAGCACUUGGACCAUUCCCUACAUUCCACGGUAGACAGUAGUAGCUGCCAUGGUAUCAUCACCAGACUCUACCCUGAUCUACAAGGCCCUGUAUGAUCAGGCCCCCCCUGACUCUCCAGUCUCAUCCUCUGGCACAGCCCCUCAAACUCAAUACUCUAGAUCCAGAGCCCUAACUCCCUGGAGCUCCUGGAAUGCUCUUUUGCCUCAGGGUCCUCACAUGCACUAUUUCUUCUGCCUGGAUUCUUCUAGCUCCUUCACCCUCCCUUUCAAUCUAACUCCCUCCAGGAAGCUUUCCAUAACUCCCCGGGGUGGGUUGGGAUCUCUCCAGCUCCCACUGCCCCUCAUGCUCUAGGCCAUCCAAAACUGUUCCUCCUUAACUCUAGCCCAUGCCUGGCACAAGGUAGACGAGGCAGACCGAAGACAGGAAAAAUUCCAUUGAAAGCUUAUGUGCUAGGCAAGAUUUUAAGGGUUUUCUAUGUAUUAACACAUUUGGUGCUCACUGAAUGUAGGAGGUAACGACUAUUAUUAUCCUCA